UACGUAGGGGGCUAGCGUUGUCCGGAAUCAUUGGGCGUAAAGAGCGUGUAGGCGGCCCGGUAAGUCCGCUGUGAAAGUCCAGGGCUCAACCCUGGGAUGCCGGUGGAUACUGUCGGGCUCGAGUCCGGAAGAGGCGAGUGGAAUUCCUGGUGUAGCGGUGAAAUGCGCAGAUAUCAGGAGGAACACCGGUGGCGAAGGCGGGUCUCUGGGCCGAUACUGACGCUGAGGAGCGAAAGCGUGGGGAGCGAACAGG
rnacentral:rRNA from 1 species